rnacentral:piRNA from 1 species
UAGCUUAUAACUCUGAAUCUAUAUGGCUC